rnacentral:rRNA from 1 species
CCAGCAAUACUGCGUGUUUGAUGAAGGCCUUCGGGUUGUAAAGCACUUUAACUUGGGAAGAAAAUGCUUCCCUACCUACGUGAAGCCUUGACUGUACCAGACAGCAAUAAGCACCGGCUAACACUGUGCCAGCAGCCGCGGUAAUA